rnacentral:rRNA from 1 species
GACGUAGGGGGCAAGCGUUGUUCGGAAUUACUGGGCGUAAAGCGCACGUAGGCGGCUUUGUAAGUUAGAGGUGAAAGCCCGGGGCUCAACUCCGGAACUGCCUUUAAAACUGCAUCGCUUGAAUCCAGGAGAGGUGAGUGGAAUUCCGAGUGUAGAGGUGAAAUUCGUAGAUAUUCGGAAGAACACCAGUGGCGAAGGCGGCUCACUGGACUGGUAUUGACGCUGAGGUGCGAAAGCGUGGGGAGCAAACAGG